GUGGGGAAUAUUGGACAAUGGGCGAAAGCCUGAUCCAGCCAUGCCGCGUGUGUGAAGAAGGUCUUCGGAUUGUAAAGCACUUAAGUUGGGAGGAAGGGCAGUAAGUUAAUACCUUGCUGUUUUGACGUUACCGACAGAAGAAGCCCCGGCUAACUUCGUGCCAGCAGCCGCGGUAAUACGAAGGGGGCUAGCGUUGUUCGGAAUUACUGGGCGUAAAGCGCGCGUAGGUGGUUUUGUAAGUUGGAGGUGAAAUCCCCGGGCUCAACCUGGGAACUGCCUCCAAAACUGCAUGACUAGAGUACGGUAGAGGGUAGUGGAAUUUCCUGUGUAGCGGUGAAAUGCGUAGAUAUAGGAAGGAACACCAGUGGCGAAGGCGACUACCUGGACUGAUACUGACACUGAGGUGCGAAAGCGUGGGGAGCAAACAGGAUUAGAUACCCCAGUAGUCC
rnacentral:rRNA from 1 species